ACAUCACUGGCCAAAUUGGUAAGGCAGCGGUCUCCAAAACCGAAGAUUUUCCAAGUUCGACUCUUGGGUGAUGUG
rnacentral:tRNA from 1 species